rnacentral:rRNA from 1 species
AGUGAACGCUGGCGGCAGGCCUAACACAUGCAAGUCGAACGGCAGCGGGUCCUUCGGGAUGCCGGCGAGUGGCGGACGGGUGAGGAAUACAUGGGAAUCUGCCCAGUCGUGGGGGAUAACGUAGGGAAACUUACGCUAAUACCGCAUGCGACCUUAGGGUGAAAGCGGCGGACCGCAAGGCGUCGCGCGAUUGGAUGUGCCCAUGUCGGAUUAGCUAGUUGGCGGGGUAAAGGCCCACCAAGGCGACGAUCCGUAGCUGGUCUGAGAGGAUGAUCAGCCACACUGGAACUGAGACACGGUCCAGACUCCUACGGGAGUCAGCAGUGGGGAAUAUUGGACAAUGGGCGCAAGCCUGAUCCAGCCAUGCCGCGUGAGUGAAGAAGGCCUUCGGGUUGUAAAGCUCUUUUGUCCGGAAAGAAAAGCUCUCGGUUAAUACCCGGGGGUUCUGACGGUACCGGAAGAAUAAGCACCGGCUAACUUCGUGCCAGCCGCCGCGGUAACAC